rnacentral:lncRNA from 1 species
AUGAAAAGUCAUGAAAUCACAUCUGGAGUCGAAGGAGAAGGGAGCUAGAAAUAGCGUGUAGCCGGACCUAGCUCCAAUUCUGUAACUGGGGUAGAAAUUUUGCAAAGUGACCUCCACCACAGCAUGAGAAGGAAUUAAAGCCUGUUUUCCUACCUGUCUCUAAGGCCCUUUGCACUUGGAUUAUUCAUUGAUAAACCAAAUCAUGCCAAAGGCUGGACCCAAUGAGAGAAGGAAAAAAAAAAAGGCAUUUGCUUUGUGCUUACCAGCAGCAUGGUCAAUAUCUGAAGAAGAGGCUGAUGAACUUGCUUGAGCUACAUCCUAGGUUGUGAGUCAGGGCUGGUGCCCUUGAACUCCUCUUCCCAGCCCAGGCACCAGGGCCUAGCAAGGUAUUGCUAACAAAGGGAAGGAUUGUCUUAACAUGUGCUGUCCUAUUUUGAAUGGAGCAAAGAGGUCCAAAUAGAAUUCUGCUUUGUCAUAAAGAUGUUUUACAGGAGGCUAACAUAAAUAGUAAAAUAUGCUUCAGCAAGACAUCUGUUGAAAAAAUAAUGAGGAGGUGCUCUUCUGAGUAAAGGUACUGUGUAAGUUGUGAUGGCCUCUUUUUAUAGCAAGAAGGCAAAUUCCUGUGUCCUCUGGCUAAUAUAAACUCCAUUCUCCUCAGUCAGAAGGGCAACAUGGCCUCCCAUAGCCUGAAUAGCAGCUG